GAUGAACGCUGGCGGCGUGCCUAAUACAUGCAAGUCGAGCGAACAGACGAGGAGCUUGCUCCUCUGACGUUAGCGGCGGACGGGUGAGUAACACGUGGAUAACCUACCUAUAAGACUGGGAUAACUUCGGGAAACCGGCGCUAAUACCGGAUAAUAUAUUGAACCGCAUGGUUCAAUAGUGAAAGACGGUUUUGCUGUCACUUAUAGAUGGAUCCGCGCCGCAUUAGCUAGUUGGUAAGGUAACGGCUUACCAAGGCAACGAUGCGUAGCCGACGUGAGAGAGUGAUCGGCCACACUGGAACUGAGACACGGUCCAGGCUCCUACGGGAGGCAGCAGUAGGGAAUCUUCCGCAAUGGGCGAAAGCCUGACGGAGCAACGCCGCGUGAGUGAUGAAGGUCUUCGGAUCGUAAAACUCUGUUAUUAGGGAAGAACAAAUGUGUAAGUAACUAUGCACGUCUUGACGGUACCUAAUCAGAAAGCCACGGCUAACUACGUG
rnacentral:rRNA from 1 species